rnacentral:lncRNA from 1 species
GUCUAACUGCAUCUGACUCAGACGCAUUCUAUGGGUCAGAACUGGUCUGUCCAGGCCACCCCGGAGUCACCUGCCCCCUCCUCUGCUUGAGGUCUUCCCUGAACUGAUCCAUCGGGCCCCAGUUUAGCUUCUCGCUGAAGACCUGCAAAUUACUGAGACACUGAUGUCACAAACUUGUGGGAUCCUCCCCACAUGCUGAGGCUUGACCCAGAGGUCUCAUUCCCUCCGGCUCUAGCCCUCCAAGUGCUAUCGGCAGCCGGUGUGGAGGAAAAGGAGGACCCGAAGAGGCCGAGGUCACGGCAAGCGUUAAUCUCAUCCCGCCAUCUAGGAAAUGGAGGUCCGAUGAAGGGAGCUAGAAACUGUCAUGCGCUGGCAGCCUCGCCAAGUGCAAACGAGGCCUGGCCUGGAGAACCGGGAACUCAGAGAUGCAGGAUGAAUUCGCCCAGACUCGGGGGCAGUACCUGAGAAGUGUGCACAAACCCUCACCCAGACCAAGGGACCCAGGAGCCCCGGACCUCCACACCGACCCUACAUCCAAGCCCGAGCCUCCGCAAGCUUCUUCGGCCUCUCCUCCCAUCCUGAGUUCCGCUCAGCCUCUGCCAACUGAAAACGCCGGAUCUUAAGACUCUGGGGCGGGUGGGUCUUUUCCUUCCUCUGAAAGGAGGGUCCUACGGUGCCGGGGGCGGGGGCGGGGGCGGGGGGUGGGGGAGGUGGCUGAGAGUCCCCGGACCCCUGUCCCGGACCGCGCGCGCCGGCUGCAUAUUUCUAUGCAUAAUCCAAUUUUCUCCGUGACUAUCUAGUUAAACUCUUUAACAACAGCUACAUAAUUAGAAUUUGGAUUCCCAUUAAUUUUCCCUGGGCCUCGAACCAUUUGCAGCUCACACUGGUAAUUAAUGCGAUACAUCACUAACUUUACCCAGCGCCGGCCAGCCGGGCUCAGGUCGCUCAGCCCGCUCCAGGCGCCCUUGUGCGGCGAGUCCCUGACUCCGGACCCGGCUUUCCGAGUGGGGGCCGUUUUCCUCCCUCCAAAGCCAAAUGCCUCGGCCCGCGCAACCAAAGCCUUCUUUCCAGGAAAUUUCACAAUUAAAAAUAUUUAUCGGGA